AAGCAGUGAAGAUCUUCCCACGCCCUACUUCUGGCCCCCUCCGUCCUGUUGUUCAAUGUCAAACACUCAAGUACAACAUGAAAUCUAGGUCAGGCAGGGGAUUUUCUCUGGAGGAGCUGAAGGCAGCAGGCAUUCCCAGAAAGCUUGCCCCAACCAUUGGAAUUUCUGUUGAUCACCGACGCAAAAAUCGUUCCUUGGAGGGCCUUCAAGCCAAUAUUCAAAGGCUCAAGACCUACAAGGCCAAGCUUGUCAUCUUCCCACGUCGCUCGCACAAGUUGAAGGCUGGUGAUUCUUCACCAGAGGAGCUAGCAGCUGCAACACAGGUCCAGGGCGCAUUCUUGCCCAUUGCUCGUGAGCAGCCACCGGUUGAGAUUGUGAAGGUGACCGAUGAGAUGA
rnacentral:misc_RNA from 1 species